GACGAACGCUGGCGGCGUGCCUAACACAUGCAAGUCGAACGGAGCACUUCGGUGCUUAGUGGCGGACGGGUGAGUAACACGUGAGCAAUCUGCCUUUCAGAGGGGGAUACCAGUUGGAAACGACUGUUAAUACCGCAUAACAUAUCGAGAUCGCAUGAUAUUGAUAUCAAAGAUUUAUCGCUGAAAGAUGGCCUCGCGUCUGAUUAGAUAGUUGGUGGGGUAACGGCCUACCAAGUCGACGAUCAGUAGCCGGACUGAGAGGUUGAACGGCCACAUUGGGACUGAGACACGGCCCAGACUCCUACGGGAGGCAGCAGUGGGGAAUAUUGCGCAAUGGGGGAAACCCUGACGCAGCAACGCCGCGUGAAGGAAGAAGGUCUUCGGAUUGUAAACUUUUGUCUUCUGGGAAGAUAAUGACAGUACCAGGGGAGGAAGCCUUCCGGCUAACUACGUG
rnacentral:rRNA from 1 species